UUGGGAUUUCCAUCUCAGCAAGAAUGCUACUGUUAAUUGCCAUCGCUGCUUUAAGGAUCUGAUUAGUGCAAUUGCUUUGGUGUCGUAAAUGCUUCUUUCACUUACCAGAAUGGCCGUUGGAAGGUACACAAAGAAAUGGCAGCCACAACUUUUGUUCUGUAUGCUGAGGCGGAGGAAUGAUCCUCCUGAAUGAGCCUGAACAUGUUAAAUUUCCUAACAUGCUACCUUGUUCUGCAUACCAAAACUCUGUAUCAUGAAAACUUUUAAGGACUUGUUCCUGCCACGAAGACACAAAUACAUGGAAAUAAACAAUAAGCUAGAAAAUCUCCUGGAAGCACCAAAAUUUAUUUCAAAGAGUGGAAAAAGAUCUUCCCAUAUUAGGAUAUUUAUAAAAUGAACUUGCACACAGAAUAAUCUUGUUUAGUAACACACACUAUUUGUUUGCUAACAAAAUAAUUAACACGAAAAUAUUUGUCAAUUAGGAGAGGAAUGACUUACGAUUGAAAAAGAUUUGAUCCAGCCUUCAUGCUUAGCGGAAAAUGUAUAAGAUACUGAUAAAUAUAGCUCAACUUCAUAUUUUUGUCCAAGUUAUAAAAAAUUUGCUAACAAAAUAAUUAACACGAAAAUAUUUGUCAAUUAGGAGAGGAAUGACUUACGUGACCAUAAUCUCCCAGAUUGACAACUAAAGCUCCUUCCAUAGGCUUAACCGUAAUUGAAGUUUGCCACCAUCCCGAGUGGCAUGUAAUCCACUAACCUGCUCCUGAAGCAAAAGGGUAAUUGCACCUGAGUCUGUAUGCCUUCUGCAUCCAAGUGUCAAGUCGGGUUUGGGACACGGGGAUAGUAAUUAAGUAACACUUUUUGUUCCAUAUUCACGCAAGCUUUUGUAAUAAUCUCUUUUUCAAGGACCAUGGCCUCUGAUAACUCUUCCAGUAACUUGGUACCAAGAUCCUGUAACUUUUCACAGUAUUCUUCUGUGAUGGACCUCCAUCCCUCAGGCUUAUGAGGCCGUCGGGAGUAAUCCCGACCACUAAUUGGUUACAAACUCAUGCCAGUCCAUUGCGCUGUCACCCUGUAUUGUAUUAGUUACUAUAAUAUAUUAUACUGCAUUACUAUUAUCUAAUAAUAAUUCCUGAGAAUGAUCAGUUGAUUGAAAGAUCACGAUUUUGUAGUUCGAUNCGGAAAAUAAAUCAAACUUGAAUUGUUUAAAAGGGUUGUUCGCUAACCUUAUAAAUAGAUGCCAAAUAUGUAUUUGGGAUUUCCAUCUCAGCAAGAAUGCUACUGUUAAUUGCCAUCGCUGCUUUAAGGAUCUGAUUAGUGCAAUUGCUUUGGUGUCGUAAAUGCUUCUUUCACUUACCAGAAUGGCCGUUGGAAGGUACACAAAGAAAUGGCAGCCACAACUUUUGUUCUGUAUGCUGAGGCGGAGGAAUGAUCCUCCUGAAUGAGCCUGAACAUGUCAAAUUUCCUAACAUGCUACCUUGUUCUGCAUCCAAAACUCUGUAUCAUGAAAACUUUCAAGGACUUGUUCCUGCCACGAAGACACAAAUACAUGGAAAUAAACAAUAAGCU
rnacentral:lncRNA from 1 species